rnacentral:lncRNA from 1 species
GAAUCAUUACAAACGUGCAUGUCACCUGAUCCCCGCUGCCAUACUCCCCGUCGACCGCCCUACCGAGCCACCGCGAGCCCGCCCGCCUUCCUUCGCGGCGUCGCCCAUCCACACUGCCGCCGCGCAGCCUUGAUCAUGCGGCUCCGCGUUGUCGUCCCGGUCGGGCCCCGCAACCACCAGCACCGCAUCCGCAUCGUCGUCCCGGCCGGGCCUCACGCCGGCUAGCCGCCGGAUAUGCGUCGUCGUCCUCCCACACCUCCGCUUCGAUGUCCAGCCUUCCUCCCACGCCUCUACGUCACCGCCGGAUCUGCGUCGCCGCCCUCAACCAACUACCAACCGCCAAAUCCGGCGAGCUCGGGGAGGUUGCCGGCGAAUCUCGCCUCCCCGUUCCUCCACCACGUUCCGAUGCGGUGUUGCGCCUAAACCCCGACGUGGCUACCUCCUCUUCUCUCACGUGGAUCCAUUGGAGACGCGCCCGAUCCAAGCUCAGCCAUCUCUUCCUUCACUGUCUGUAACUUGCAGUUCGCUAAUCUGAUGCGUGGGCAACCAGCGAAAUUCAUCUCCUGGUUGAAAUGCAGUUCAAUUUGGUGUGUGCCACUCCUCCGGCGGGCGUGCAGUGCAUGCUACUGUCUAGUUGGACUCAAUGUGUUUUUUUUGCUAGUUGCUGACCCCCACGCAUCUUUGGGCUCGGAGUCACCGAGAGUGCAGCUCGGGGGCGCCGGCAGUGCAGUCCACUAAAUGGGGGUUGCAUUCCACAUUUUAUGGUAGAUGCGGGCGAGCUUGAGGAGACCCAGCUGAGAGGAGGAGGAGCUUCAUCACGUGCAGUCCACAAAAGGUGUAGAUCAGGUCCAGAGGAGAAGGAUGCAGGGCAUGCAGGCGUUGGUGUCACACGACUUGCAGUUCAGCGGGGCGGGAGCUACGGUCACCGAGAGAGACGGGACCACAGCCGGCCCUCCCGAGUCGUUCCUUCACAAUGGAGACAUCCGCAAGCAUCGAUCUGGC